UACGUAGGUGGCAAGCGUUGUUCGGAUUUACUGGGCGUAAAGCGCACGUAGGCGGUUUGUUAAGUCAGAGGUGAAAUCCCGGAGCUCAACUCCGGAACUGCCUUUGAUACUGGCAAGCUAGAGUCCGGAAGAGGUGAGUGGAACUCCUAGUGUAGAGGUGGAAUUCGUAGAUAUUAGGAAGAACACCAGUGGCGAAAGGCGGC
rnacentral:rRNA from 1 species